rnacentral:tRNA from 1 species
AUUUAUAUAGUUUAAUAUUUAAAACACUACAUUUUCACUGUAGAAAUAAAGAAUUAUUUUAUAAAUA